rnacentral:rRNA from 1 species
GACGAACCGUGCGAACGUUGUUCGGAAUCACUGGGCUUAAAGGGCGCGUAGGCGGCCCGCCGCGUCCGGGGUGAAAUCCUCCCGCUCAACGGGAGAACGGCCUCGGAUACGGGCGGGCUGGAGGGGGGUAGGGGCAGGCGGAACUGUGGGUGGAGCGAUGAAAUGCGUUGAGAUCCACAGGAACUCCGGUGGCGAAGGCGGCCUGCUGGACCCCACCUGACGCUGAGGCGCGAAAGCCAGGGGAGCGAACGGG